rnacentral:tRNA from 1 species
GCCUUCUUAGCUCAGUGGUAGAGCGCGUGGCUUUUAACCACGUGGUCGUGGGUUAUUGUACGCA